AUUGAACGCUGGCGGCAUGCCUUACACAUGCAAGUCGAACGUGAAGCGGGGCAACCCGCAAGUAGAGUGGCGGACGGGUGAGUAAUACAUCGGAACGUGUCCGAGUAAUGGGGGAUAACCUAGCGAAAGUUAGGCUAAUACCGCAUACGAUCUGCGGAUGAAAGCGGGGGAUGCGGCACUAAAGGCUUUUGGCGAAGGUGGCCAAAGGUGAGUCAAGAGCUUUUAGUGCGCACCUCGCGUUAUUGGAGCGGCUGAUGUCUGAUUAGCUAGUUGGUGAGGUAAAGGGCUUACCAAGGCGACGAUCAGUAGCUGGUCUGAGAGGACGGCCAGCCA
rnacentral:rRNA from 1 species